UGGGGAAUUUUGGACAAUGGGCGCAAGCCUUAUCCAGCAAUGCCGCGUGCAGGAUGGAGGCCUUCGGGUUGUAAACUGCUUUUGUACGGAACGAAACGGCUCUGUCUAAUACAUGGGGCUAAUGACGGUACCGUAAGAAUAAGCACCGGCUAACUACGUGCCAGCAGCCGCGGUAAUACGUAGGGUGCAAGCGUUAAUCGGAAUUACUGGGCGUAAAGCGUGCGCAGGCGGUUAUGUAAGACAGAUGUGAAAUCCACGGGCCCAACCUGGGACCUGCAUUUGUGACUGCAUAGCUAGAGUACGGCAGAGGGGGAUGGAAUUCCGCGUGUAGCAGUGAAAUGCGUAGAUAUACGGAGAAACACAGAUGGCGAAGGCAGCCUCCUGGGCCAGUACUGACGCUCAUGCACGAAAGCGUGGGGAGCAAAAA
rnacentral:rRNA from 1 species